CCUGAGAAACCCAAAAGAUCGAAUAGGGAGAUUCAUCGUCAGCUCAUUUUGUAUAUAUGCAAGUUGUGAUAUGGGUUACUACUUGUAGUAUUGCCUAUACAUUCUUGUAUAUUUAAUUGCAAAGUGUGGUCGGCGUGCACUUCUCCCUUAGUAGAACGUCGCGACCCGUUGAGAGUAUGUAUAGUCUACGGCCCAAGUGAUAGCUUUUAGUAAAUAGUUUAUUCUAUUUAUUGAAAAUCCUUGGUGUCACCUGACUAACACUUGGCGGUAUUCGUACGGUAUUAAGUCGCAUAUUUAUAUGCGUUCUGGCCUACACAAGCGAGGUUAGUUUUACUGAUAGUGCGGACCUAGUGCCGUCGUUGGUACUAACCAGCUGUUAGUUGUAUGGAAUUCUAGAACUGGCUUUUAUAUACCGGUCAGCGAUGCUACUGCUUUGGGUACUUUCAGGACCCGUCUUGAAACACGGACCAAGGAGUCUAACAUGUACGCGAGUCAUUGGGAUAUUUAUAAAAUUAAACCUAAAGGCGUAAUGAAAGUAAAGGUCGGCCUUGUGUCGAUUGAGGGAGGAUGGGUUAUGUUACGAUAUAGCCUCGCACUCCCGGGGCG
rnacentral:rRNA from 1 species